CCUACGGGCGGCUGCAGUGGGGAAUAUUGGACAAUGGGCGAAAGCCUGAUCCAGCCAUGCCGCGUGUGUGAAGAAGGCCUUCGGGUUGUAAAGCACUUUCAGUGGGGAAGAAAGCCUUGGGGCUAAUACCCUCGAGGAAGGACAUCACCCACAGAAGAAGCACCGGCUAACUCCGUGCCAGCAGCCGCGGUAAUACGGAGGGUGCGAGCGUUAAUCGGAAUUACUGGGCGUAAAGCGCGCGUAGGCGGUCUGAUAAGCCGGUUGUGAAAGCCCCGGGCUCAACCUGGGAACGGCAUCCGGAACUGUCAGGAUAGAGUGCAGGAGAGGAAGGUAGAAUUCCCGGUGUAGCGGUGAAAUGCGUAGAGAUCGGGAGGAAUACCAGUGGCGAAGGCGGCCUUCUGGACUGACACUGACGCUGAGGUGCGAAAGCGUGGGUAGCAAACAGGAUUAGAUACCCCGGUAGUC
rnacentral:rRNA from 1 species